UAAAAGGGUGUCUGCCGUACUCAGUGGCACACCGGCUUCCGCUGGUGGGGUAUGGCCAUCAAGACAUACCCGACACGCAAUUUUUAAAUCGGAGGGAAGUUCGAAAGCUGUAACGCUCGGACGCCCUC
rnacentral:snRNA from 1 species